AAACCGACACAGGUGGUCAGGUAGAGAAUACCAAGGCGCUUGAGAGAACUCGGGUGAAGGAACUAGGCAAAAUGGUGCCGUAACUUCGGGAGAAGGCACGCUGAUAUGUAGGUGAAGCCCCUGCGGGUGGAGCUGAAAUCAGUCGAAGAUACCAGCUGGCUGCAACUGUUUAUUAAAAACACAGCACUGUGCAAACACGAAAGUGGACGUAUACGGUGUGACGCCUGCCCGGUG
rnacentral:rRNA from 1 species